rnacentral:tRNA from 1 species
GCGGACGUGGUGGAAUUGGCAGACACGCUGGAUUUAGGUUCCAGUGCCGCGAGGCAUGCAGGUUCGACUCCUGUCGUCCGCACCA